rnacentral:rRNA from 1 species
AUUGAACGCUGGCGGCAGGCCUAACACAUGCAAGUCGAGCGGAUGAAGGGAGCUUGCUCCUGGAUUCAGCGGCGGACGGGUGAGUAAUGCCUAGGAAUCUGCCUGGUAGUGGGGGAUAACGUCCGGAAACGGGCGCUAAUACCGCAUACGUCCUGAGGGAGAAAGUGGGGGAUCUUCGGACCUCACGCUAUCAGAUGAGCCUAGGUCGGAUUAGCUAGUUGGUGGGGUAAAGGCCUACCAAGGCGACGAUCCGUAACUGGUCUGAGAGGAUGAUCAGUCACACUGGAACUGAGACACGGUCCAGACUCCUACGGGAGGCAGCAGUGGGGAAUAUUGGACAAUGGGCGAAAGCCUGAUCCAGCCAUGCCGCGUGUGUGAAGAAGGUCUUCGGAUUGUAAAGCACUUUAAGUUGGGAGGAAGAGCAGUAAGUUAAUACCUUGCUGUUUUGACGUUACCAACAGAAUAAGCACCGGCUAACUUAGUG